CAAUAUUUGUUUUGAUUUUUGUUCAUAAAAUGGAGUUUGAUUGAAAGCUGCUGAGUUCGUCGAUGUCUAAACUUCUGAUUGUUGCUCGUCUUUGCUACUGGUUUGGCUGUGCUCCGAGCCUUGACCUGCUGUUAUUUUACUCUUAAAAGUUUGGAGUCGAAACUUUUAAUCACCUUCGUUUUUGUUAUCAAAAGAAGUUCGAAAUUUCAGGUUUAGUCUUCAUCUUUCUGUUCUUGCGAUUCUGUUUUGUUUCAUCGUAUUUUGAGCUAUGAGAUUCAAUCUAGGGUGGUUUGUUUGUGUUAUGAUCGAAUUUCUUAUUGACUGCAUCUACUCUCAUCAAUGAUACGUGUUUGAG
rnacentral:lncRNA from 1 species